rnacentral:rRNA from 1 species
UCCCUACGGGAGGCAGCAGGGGAUAUUGCACAAUGGGGGGAACCCUGAUGCAGCGACGCCGCGUGGGUGAAGAAGCGCCUCGGCGCGUAAAGCCCUGUCAGCAGGGAAGAAAAUGACGGUACCUGAAGAAGAAGCCCCGGCUAACUACGUGCCAGCAGCCGCGGUAAUACGUAGGUGGCAAGCGUUGUCCGGAAUUACUGGGUGUAAAGGGAGCGCAGGCGGGAAGCCAAGUCAGCUGUGAAAACUACGGGCUUAACUUGUAGACUGCAGUUGAAACUGGUUUUCUUGAGUGAAGUAGAGGUUGG